UUGACCCAAAGUAUAUAAACUAGAUACUCCUAUUCAGGGUUGGUAGAUAAGAAUAAGUAAGUAUCUAAUUCCUUUUCUGGGUUGGGACAAUAGGAGUCUAAAACAUAGUUGCUAAGGUAGUUUUUCUGGGUUCCAAGUUCUAAUCCCUAUUCUGCGUUACAAAAUACAUGUAGGUAUUCUCUGGACUUUCUAAGUGUGCUCUAAAUUUGUAAAAGUAAUGAGUACUCCACACUUUGUAAGUAAUAAUAAAAACUAAAUGUUCCUGUUCUGGAAUAUUUUUUUCUGGAUUCUAAGUUUGUUCUAAUUCCUUUUCUGGGUUGCAAUAAUAGGAGUCUGUCUGAAUAAUAAUCUAAAUAUUAAUCUAAUAUUGAUCUAAAUAGUGAGUACUCUACAGUUUCUAAAAUAUAAGCUAAAGAGUGACUAAUAAACUAGAGUCUCUGAAUUCCAAGUUUGUUCUAAUUACUUUUCUGGGUUAAAAGUGAGUACUCCACAGUUUCUAACAAAAUAAAAUAAAAAAGAGGAAAGGACACAUUAGGGCAAAUAGCAACAUUCAGACAAAACAAAGGGCAAAACAAAGACAUGAGUGAAGGCGGUGACAUCACAGGGCCAUGAAACCACGUUGCUCAGCCUCCUGGCAGAAGUCAGAUAAGAUGUUGUUAUCGAGGAAUGUCCUUGGGAGCGCUCAGCUCCACAGCUGCAUGGAUAACAGAAGGGGGUGAGGUGGGAAGGAGCGUUAUGUUUACAUAUCUUCAAGGAGAUUGGAAAUAUGCAGCCCUUCCAAGGCAACACGGGGAAAGCCAAUUCAGAUACAGAAUGUCUUAGGUCAGAUAGAUUCUAAAUUUCAAUCUUCCCUAAAGUCUCUCCAAUACAUCUCAGUUCCCAAUCAUCCAAAUUAGUUUGGUCACUCCACCGAACCAAAACUAGCAACUUCUCCAAGAUCCAUUCCGUUAGUGAGUUUUGAGUCCUCAGCUGGGCUGCGAGUCUCAGCAAGGCUUGCAUCCAACUUGUGUCUCUGUCCACACCAACAGUCUGAGUGUUCGCUAGUUCGGCCAAGUCCAUCACAAAUUUGUCAAUAAGCCAGGCGUGUCCCCGCAGGACAAGAGGGCUCUCCUGUGCCCAGUCUUCUCGUCGAGAAAAUUUGAUCAAUUGCAUUGAGAGGCCGGUUGACCAGAUCCAUAAUUUGUAGAUCUGGAGGAUGUGCAAAGAAAGGCUCCAAAAAUAUAGAAAAAGACAGGACAAAAACAGAGCAAGGGAAACAGGGAGCAGAGGGGAAAAAAGCGUUCGUCUUUACCGAGAGCAAGAGAUAAAAAAAAAAAAACUAAUUUAUCAUGCGAUUAAUUGGUUAUUAUUUCUUAUUGUGACCGGCCUAUUUGUGAAUGUUUAAAUAAGCUAAACUAAUUAGGUGUUAGUUUCUAAUGGUUUAUCUUUGAACUGUGAAACAGUUCAAAAGGUCUGACAACUUUUUCAUGGUGGUAUUCAUCUCACGAGGACAACAUCUUCAACGCUGGUCGUCUGUCCAGCAAAACAAGCUUUUUUAUUCCAACUGAGCUCCUGGUUUCUCUAAUUAAAUUACUGGAGUCUGUAUGGGUCUGGUGUGCGUAACGACUAUCAGAUGAGAUAAGUUGGCUUUGAACAAUACAGUCAGUGUUUGCUACACUUCAGUGUGUAAUUAUAAUAGCCUGGUUGUAGCUAAGCGUUGUGCGUUUAUGAGGUUUUGGAGAAGCGGUGGUUUGCACACAAAAACAGGCCGAACAAAGAGGACGACCAGGUUUAAACCUUUGAUCAUUACGACGUCUAAAGUACAGGGCACCUGACUGCUAAAUGUUCAAAAACAUCUGGUUUGCAGAUGUGGGCAGGUACAAAGGAAGCAGAUUCCAGAAGGAUGCUGGUGGGACAGUGGAGAAUCAGAUAAAGACGUGGAGAACAGCAUCAAAGAAAGGAUUACAUUAAAGCAUCAACAGAAGAGACCCGAGCAUCAGAUCAUCAAACGCAUGUUGACUUUGCAUGUGUAGAGCUUUAGAUGGCACCCAGGAGGACGUGUUAGCUAAAAACGGGCUGAGAACUACCCUGGUACAGAUCACAACACUGGAGAUGCCCGAACGUCGCAUCUCCAUCUUUGGACUAAUACACGAGAGAUUAUAACGUUCACAGUAAGAUUAACUCUUCAACUCGUACGGAUUUAUACGCAGCUUUUAUCCCUACAUGAUUCCAAUCGUUCUGUUUCGCUGCUCUGUGUUUUCAUCUCACUCUUGUUUUAUUUAUAGAGCACGUUUCAUACGAUCAAAUGCGUCCCGAAAACAAUCAACAAUCACAUCAAAGAAUACCAACCAGGAAGUAAAAUUAUUAGGCAACUAGAAUAGAAAGUGUCAUUAACUGAGGGCACACAAUCUUAAUCAACAAAAAACAAAUACAUUCAUUAAAAUAGUUGAAAAUGCAGUGUGGUUUCUAUUCUCAGUCUUUACAUGAUAGUCCUAAUGCAAGUUGUUUUUGAAAGACUUCUCCUCUCAUCAAAAAGGAUUCAUCAGUUCAGUUCAGAACUGAUAGGAACUGAAACGUCUCUAAGAAACAAUCGAAAUUAAUUUACUGUAUGUUAUACAUGAAGUAGAAGGAAACUGACAUUAAGAACAAAUUAAAAAUGCAAAAGAAAAAAAGAUAUCUGAAAAUUUGAAAAAAAAAGUUAAUAAAGGUGGAAAAUAUAAAGAUUAAUCAAUAAAUCUCCUGUUCAGAUUGUAGAUCUGAACAGCAUACAGCUGUAGCUGAGUUUCAUUACAAAUGUGAGCAAAUCUUUGAGUUGUGCUGAUGUCGAAAAAAAAUAAAAAUUGCCAAUGAAAGUAAAAUCACGUGUUAAUAAGCUUGUUCUCGCGAUAAGUCAUUACAAAUCAUGUCAGGGACGGAUGU